GACGAACGCUGGCGGCGUGCCUAAUACAUGCAAGUUGAGCGAUGAAGAUUGGUGCUUGCACCAAUUUGAAGAGCAGCGCACGGGUGAGUAACGCGUGGGGAAUCUGCCUUUGAGCGGGGGACAACAUUUGGAAACGAAUGCUAAUACCGCAUAACAACUUUAAACAUAAGUUUUAAGUUUGAAAGAUGCAAUUGCAUCACUCAAAGAUGAUCCCGCGUUGUAUUAGCUAGUUGGUGAGGUAAAGGCUCACCAAGGCGAUGAUACAUAGCCGACCUGAGAGGGUGAUAGGCCACAUUGGGACUGAGACACGGCCCAAACUCCUACGGGAGGCAGCAGUAGGGAAUCUUCGGCAAUGGACGAAAGUCUGGCCGAGCAACGCCGCGUGAGUGAAGAAGGUUUUCGGAUCGUAAAACUCUGUUGGUAGAGAAGAACGUUGGUGAGAGUGGAAAGCUCAUCAAGUGACGGUAACUACCCAGAAAGGGACGGCUAACUACGUG
rnacentral:rRNA from 1 species